rnacentral:lncRNA from 1 species
UUUAGGUUAAAGUUUAGGGUUUAAAGUUUUAUUAUUAGAGAUAGAAUUAGAGUUUAAAGUUUAUGAUUUAAAGGGAAAGAUAAAAACUUUAAACCCAAAAUAAAAUUGAGAGUUGACUUGGUUUGGUUUUUGAAUAUAUAUAUAUAUUAAAUUGAAAAAUGCGUUGAAUAAAUUGAAAUAAAAAAUUGUUUCCAAUAAUAAAAAUAUGAAAACAUUUUCUAUAACAAAUUUUCUAUACUAGAAAAAUGAGAAAUUAAACAUUUCAGGUUUUGGAUUAAGGACCUUAACCUAAAACUUAAUCUUAAACCUUAAAAUAAAUCAUAUUUUAAUCUAAGAUCACCGUUAAAUUAAACUAUAAACCCUAAAAACUUAAAACCAUGAACCUUAAAAUAAGAUCAAGGCCGGUUUAUGAGGUUUUGGUUUUAGGAUAUUAAACCCUAAAAUUAACAAUAUUUUAACUUUAAAAAAGGUUAAAACACAAAACAUUAACAAGCCCUAAAUCAUGAAUUCUAAAAUUCAUCUAAACGAUCUAAAUUUAAAACCCCAAAUUUUAAAUUAAGUUUAAUGCUUUAUGAUUUUUAAGAUUUUUGAGGUUUUGUCUUUAGGAUUCUAAACCCUAAAAUUAAUCGAUUUAUCUUAAAUUAAGUUUAAAUUAAGGUUUAUAUAUAUAGUGUCCUUAAUUCAAAUCUCAUUAUGGAUUUUUUUUAUUAAAAAAAAUAAAAACGCGAAGUUAAUCCUACAACUUUAGAAAUAAUAUAGUUUGACACCAACUUAGCAAAAAAACUUAAUAAAUUAUAUAAAUAAAAGAUAAAAUUAAAAAGAAUAGCAUUAAAAGUGGAAAUUUAUUGAGAGGGAGGUAAGAAGUUGGGAGUUAGGGAGUAACCUUUUCAUUCUUGGCACGUGUUACUAAAUGGACCUGUUCAGACACGUAGGUGCUUGAGUGUAGAAUCGCGGUUCCAAUCAUAGUUCACAAGGAUCUUGCCUUUCCAACACGAAUCGUAUCCACACAACUUUUCACAACCAAUUUCAAUUAUGAAUUUCUUCUUCUUUACUCUUAAUUUUCGAUUUUUUUUCCUGGGAACAAGAUGUUGAUGAAUGUAUAUGGAUCACUUUGAAGGAUGAUGGUACCCAUAAAAAUAAGAGCAAUUUGGUAUUUCCAAUAAUUAAGCAAUCUGAGGAACAAGACAGUCCCAAAGGGCUAAACCUACACAAACCCCUUUUCCCACAUCAUGGGUGGUAAGUGUUUUUUUUUUUUUUGGUAACUUUCUACAAGAAGCACGUGAACUUCUUAGUUUUGACAUAAACCAUGCAAAUUAUUUUAAAAUGCUAUUAGUAUUUGAGGAGGGAGGAGUGCCACACUCGUAUUGACACUAGACACCAUGGAAUUCAUUGGACACUCUCUCUUGUAACUAAAAGAAAUAGAAUUGAAAGGAGGUGAGGAAAGUUGAGGUCCAAAAUUCUUUUAAUUGUUUACUUUAAUAAUACAUCCAAUCAUAACCUUUUUAAUUCUUUAUUGAAAGAUAAAAGCUACUUUAAAUUAAUAAUAGUGAAAAAAUAAUUUUGAUAAAAAAAUAGUUAUAUCCCUAUCCGGAUUAGACACAUGGCACUUUCAAAAAAUACCGGAUGGAUAUCUGAAGGUAAACCUUCACCUCUAGAAUCAAUCAUUUGUCGUGGAGCUAUCCGUUGAUAGAAGAGAGAUCCUCCCUUCAUCUAGCCAUCUGCUUUUUAGUAUAAACACUCCUUUCAGGACUACUGGGAUCCACCUAACCUCGUAUUGCCUAAAGGAAUAACAAAAUUAAUAAACCCUGCUGUGCAUGUCCUUCACGUACUCUAUGAUUACCACCUCCUCUGUAACGACUUCUCACGUCACAUUAGCAGACAAGAGGACCUCUCUUAUAAAUAUAUUCUCAAACAAUGAGAAAGGGAUCUUCUCCCCUUAAGCAAUCCCUGACCACUUACUCCUUGCAACCAAGCUUCCUUAGCCCUCACAGCAUCUCUCUAUCCUCUUAUCUUUCUUCGGCUCUCUGCCUGUUAAGGUGAACCUACCUCCUUUAGAUCACCACAAUCACUCCCUGUCUUCCUCCUCGUUCUAUUUUGUGUCAACAAAAAAUAUUUUGAAAGAAAUUUUAGUACUAAAAAAUAAUUUUCUUUAUAUAAAAUAUUAUAUUACGUAGAAACAUUGGACAUGUCUCUCGAAUCUUUGCGUCUUACAUUCAAAGAAAUGAAGGAUUCAACAGUAUCGAAACACCCAAACUAGAGCAAGUUAGGGCUUUUUAAGAAAAAAAUUAAAAACUUAUAUGAGGCAGUGUCUUCAUAGCCUGUGAAGUUUAGUCAAACCCAGCCAUUUUUCUGUUAUCGUUUAGUAUUGCGCUAUAUAUCCCUAUAGUAUUAAAUAGUUUUAAGUUUUGCAUGAGAAUACGUGAGCCUAUUAAUGCGGAUCUGUCAUUAUUUGAGAUUUGAGAAUGAGGAUGUCUGUCCUUUUAUGCAAUGUUUAUCUGUAUUAUGUAUAGUAGGAUUAUUAAUUAUUAUCUUUAGAUUUUAUAUCAUCCACCCAUCUCCAUGUAUGGGAACCAUGGCAUUACAUAGCCAUGCCAUAUGAUGAUGAUCAUCACCAUCAGCUCCAUUCUUGCCACCAUACCAUUUCAAAGAAGCUUCAUGACUAGUUCUUGAGUAAUAAUUUCAUAUAUAUUGAUAUUUAUUAAAAUAAAUAAUGUUAUUUGGUAGGUAAGGCUAUUUAUUCUCUUCUCAUUUCUUAUUUAAAAAAUUAAUAAAUUAAUGCAUGGUAUGCCAUGCAAAUGAAUUAAAACUCAAAUGAAGAUAGCAUAGAAUAUUAGAGUAGAUGGACUAAUGUUUUCAACAAACUCAUUGCCCUCACCAACACCAUGGACCCAAUCUAUAUACAGUCAACAUUAGUUUCCCUUUUCCCUACAACAUUAUAUAUUUAAUCAUGCCAUUCAUUCAUCUAUAAAUUACUUUCUCCAUUUUUAAUAUUUAUUUCCUUUAUUCUCCAACUAAUAGUUUUAUUUAUUGUUAAUGAAAUAGAUUAUAUCGCAAUUCAUUUUAAUUAAUUUUAUUGUUUGAAACUUUUUAGUGAUGGGUGAAGCUAGAAAUUCUUUUUAAGAGGGGAAAAUUUCAAUUAUAAAGUUUUGGGAGAUCACAGUGGAAUUUUACCAUUAUACUGACUUAUAAUUUUAAAGGGAUGCGACUGGUAACCCAGUUGUUUGAACCGAAACUUAAUGAUUUGAUCAGUUCAACCGCCAACUUAACUCUUUUACAUUGUUGUACAUUAAAUAUAAACUGAUUAAUAAAUUGAACUCUGUGUGUUCACCACCUCAAGUAUGGUCUGAGUUUGGGUCACGCUAGUCGCAUUGUCAGCUAAGAAUACAAUAAUAGCAAUUAGUAAUAUGAUAAUACAUUAGUCAUUGUGGAGGGUGUUUACCUAAUGAUUCAUAUGGGAACCCAAUUUCUUCCCCUUAACAUAUUAUUCCUUUCACAUCUACAUACGUAUGCAUUGUUGGAAAAGCAUAUAUAUAUAUAUAUGUAAUUUUCGUCAACGGAAUAUAAAUUUGUGACAUAUUUAUACUUAAAAUAUCUUGUAUUUUUGUGGUUUGUAUAAGAUGUAGCAUAUUGGGUAUAGUGUUGGGCCUGUACGAAUCCUCUAUUUUUAUAUAAUAUAUUAUUGGACUACAGGUAUCUGAUUUAAUUAAAAUUUAAAGAAAACUAAUUUCUGAUAUUAUGGAUUGAUGAGAAACAUGCGUAACACAUGGGGAGAUCUGGUUUCAUCAGUCUACAAGUUAGCGCCAGCAGUAAUAUGGAAUAUCUUCUUUAUGAUUUUAAGAUCUUUAACAAAUAUAAAUAAAACCACAUUCAUUCAGGCCCAUUGGAUUUGGAUGCCAUCCUCUCAAGCCCAUGUGGUUAUUUAAAUUAGGGAUAAAUAUUAAAUUUAUACAUAUGUAAUUUGAUACAUAAACUUUGAUUAGGUGCAAUUAUGCAACGAAACAUACAGGCAAUUAUAUUAAUUCAAUUGUUUACAUUUAAAGAAAUGAAUAUAUAAAUUUAUUUCCAUAUCGGAUUAAUAUAAUUGUCUGUAUAUGCAAUAUAUCAACAUAAAAUAGUGCUAAUUCUAUGAUGUUGUCAGUUAUUUGUGAAAAUUGAAUCAAAUCAAAUUUUAAUUUCAUUUUUUUAAAACUAUUUUUAGCAUUUUACAUUUUAAUAGUUUAUGAAUCAUAAUUUCUAGUUUCUAAUUUUUUUAAUAGUUUAUUUUUGCAUGUGAAAAUUGAGAUUAAAUAAUAUAAUUGUAUUAUUAAAAAUAAUGAAAUAAAUUAAAGAUAAAUUUAAAAUUUAAAAUAAAAUCUAAUUAAAAAAUAAAUAUUAAUAUCACAAUUGUGUUCCAUCUUGAUCUUCUUCUUCAAUCUAUUAAUAUUUAAACCUGUGACCCAUGGGCAGGUUUAAUUCCAAUGCAUGUAAUAGUAUAAAGCAUAAUAAAAUAGUUAAAAUCAGGGUUAUAUGAGUAGGAUAUGCUAAUCAAUUAUAAAUUUGAUAUCAUAUAUAAUCAAUUGAUAUCAAAUUUAAUUUUUUUUUAUUUUUAUUUAUAGAUUAUGCAAAUAAUACUACAAAAUGAGCUUAUGCUUACAAAAUAAGAUUAUAAAUUUAACCCAAAAAGGAAUAUAAUAUAUCAAAUCUACACCUUGAUAAAUCAAAAGGAAAACUAAUAUAUAUGAUAAUUAAACAAAAUAAUCAAGAGAGAAAUAUAAUCACAAUGUCUAUAUUUUUUUUCUUUGUUUAUCUAAAACAAUAAAAUAAAUACAUCUAACAAAAUUUUAAAUAAUAAAGCUGAGUUAUGCACCAUUGUUUUUUGCUUGAAAUAUUCUUUCUCAUACUUGCAUAAAAUAUUUUAAAAAUUAUAUAUAUAUAUAUAUAUAUUAAGGAGGGUUAUUGACACAUGGUAUACUUUAGAGGUGAAGCUAGGGCUGGUAAGUGUCUUGCCUCCUUAAAAAUAUAAAAUUUUAGUUUAAUCUAUGUGUUUCUGCAUUUUUAAAUUUUUAAAAUUUAAAAAUUAAUUAAUUAUGUGAUAUGUACGUAUUUAUGAAGUCAACAAAGCUAAUUAUUUCAUCUGUUUUAGAGUAAUGAAUGAUUAAAAUGACCAUAUUUUUAUGAAAAGAGGUUGAUUCCAUAGUACAAACACAGUAGAACAAUGGUGUUCAGCCAAAGACAGUGGUUCCCAAUAACUAGUAUCCCAAGCAUAAGCGGUCAACCCCUCUAGAAGCAAAUUGAGGAGGGAUCAUCACCAUUCAUUUUGGAAAACAUUUGACAUUAAUGCGUAUGAUUCUCAUUACCGAAUAGCCUCCAUUUCCAUUUCCAUUGGAAACCUAGCUUACAAGAAAGGGCACAUCUCACGGAAGACCCAACCAUCACCAACCGCCAACCGAGAGACACCGGAGGAAUCCGCAACCAUGGAGCCACCCCAAACAGUUCAACCACCAGCGGCACCGACCUCAAAUCAGCAACCAUACAGUGACUGAAAAGGACGGCGAAGAUCAUGGAAACUGGCAGAACAAAACAAAGCCGAUACUUCUAGAGGCUUUGGCUCUGCCCAACAGUCCAUCAUCCGAAGCCGCAGAGAAGCGGGAACAUCAUCCGCACCGAAAACACUGAAUUGAGCGCUCCUCAGCAAAACCAACUUGGAAGAGAGAGAACACAAGCCACGAAGGCUCGGUUGAAGCCCCAAAAGGGGUUAUUAAACGAGAGGAAGGGAAAAAAAACAGAGCAGAGAAAGGGUGAGGGACGACCAAACAUUGACGGCAAGUGGUUGGUCGUCAAUAUACGAGCAAAGGAAGAAAAAAGAGAAAGUAAAAAGGAAACAACGGAUGAGGGAGAAGAAAGAAGAAAGAGAAAAAAAAACAAACGAGAAAUAAGAGGGGAAAGAAAGGGGCCCAGCGGCAGCCUUCUGGUCGGCCGUCGGCGUCUGAAAACUGGAAAAAGAGGGUGCCUCAAUAUUGCAAAAUGAGAGAGAAAAGUAGAGGGACUUAAACCGCUCGUAUAGUUUAGUUUAUUUUAUAAUUAAUUAAUAAUUAAAUGUAUUUUUUAUUUAAAAAUAUUAAACUUACAAAUAUUUUAUUUGAAAUUAAUUUAUUUUGCGAUUUCAAAAUUGGAUUUUGCAAAACGAGUUAAUUAAAUUAUUAAUCGAGAAAUUGUCAUGCCAAGUAUGAAAUUGAAGUAUCGAUUUAUUAAGUGGUUAAUUAAAAAAAAUGUUAUGAAUUGAUAGUUUGAGAUUUGAACAAGACAUUAACCAAGAAUUUAAAGUGCUAUUACACCAAGAUUAUUGAAAAUAAAUGUUAUGAAUUGAUAGUUUGAGGUCCUUAAAGAAUAAAUACAAAGUCAAAUUUUAAUUCGAUUGAGUUAAUAAUGACAGAAAUUUUGGAUAUUAAGAUUAAAAGGAGAUUUACUUGUAAAGUAUACUUUUGUUGAAUGCAAAAUAAUACCAUUUUUAUAAUUAAAUUAUCGUACAUAACUAGAGACGAUGUUGGAUUAUCGAGGGUCAAAGGCAAAAACGGGUAACGGAUAGUAAAAUUGGCUUGUGCUAGCAUAAUUGAUUUUCUUACAUAUAAAUUUUAAGUAGCUAACUUAUAAAAGUAUUAGUCAUAAAUGAUAGAAUAAAAUUGGUAUUAUCUCUUGCUGGAAUUGUUCAUAGAAAGGUUUAUUGAUAAUGGUUGAAAUUAUGAUUGUCUAAUAGAUUAUAUAUAUGUUUGUUAAUAUAUGUGUAAACGAUUCAUAAAGAAGAAUGAUGAGUUAUCAACUAGGCUUAUGCAUGUAGACUAAUGAACUAGUAUGAGAUUUGAGAUAGGUAAAUUAUGGAGGGAAAAAUUACAUUAAAUUAUGCUAAGUAUAAUAGCCUUGUAGAUACUUAUGAUAUAUAUAUAUAUAUGUGUGUACUUGCUAUGUAUUAAGACAAUGAUGAUGUAGUUGUGAUGAUGGUAUAAUGAAAGGAGUAAUGGCAUAAUGUUAAUGCUUUGUACCAUAAAUGGUAAGAUGAACAUAUGACUUGAUAUCUUGUUGAAUGUGAUUUGAUGAUGGUAUUAUCUAUGUGUAUAAAUUCAUGUUAUGAUAUGAUGAAAAACUCUAUGAAUUGAUAAUUGAAAUGAAUGCUAUAUGAAAUUAUGAUUCAAUGCAUGAAUGAUAUGUGAAAGAAUGAAAUGAAAGUAAUAUGAAAAUGUUAUAUAAUUAAUAAAUGAUAUGAGAACUUGUGUCUAUUGAUAUUAUAAAGUCCUUAUUAAACAAUCUUAGAUAGAGUUCGAGUAUAGUUGGCAUGCCAUAGGAUUCGUUAUAUGGAGAUAUUUUAGCGUCGGACAUGUCUUACUUUGAUUAUAAACCAAUGAAUGCUAAGCACGUAUUACUUCAGUUACGUACCAAUGAUUAUAGGUGGAUAUAUAUAUUUAGUGCCAGACAUGUCUUAUUUUGAUUAUAAAUUGAUGCAUACUAGGCAUGUAUUACUUCGUUAUUUACUGAAAAGAACAGGGUCAUAUUAGGUGUGAUGGUGAAUUAAUUCGUGUAUCCCACCUUGAUUCUAUGUUUGGGUAAUAAGGGCAAUAAUAUGACUGUAAGGGCCCAAAUCUAUCCGCCCCAAUAAAUAAAACAAUUAAAAAACAAAAUAAUAAGUAAAGUCUACUUACAAACCCAAAUAACCCACACAAGCCCAAAUACAUUACCCAAUCUAACCUAACCCUAAAAGCCCCAAACACCCGAAACCCAAGCCCGAAACCUUAACAAUUUAGAAACCCUAGUUGGUCCAUUGAGCCUUCGGUGCUGCUCCACGUCAGUGAGUGCGUCGCCCGAAGCCUGUCUCUCCCCUUUCACUGAAAUGGCAAGGCGCGGCUCCUCAGCGUCGUUGACCUUGCCAUGAAUACCUGGAAAGAAGAAGACAAAGAACAGAAAGCAGAAAUGGCAGAAAAAAGCAAGAAAAAGAACAAAAUAUUCUAUAAUAUAUUCAGCUAUAAAAGCCAUAACAAUGGCAUGUAUUUUUUUAAGGACAGAAAAUCGAAUACAAAGAACAAAAACAUUAAAAGAAAAAAACGAAGGUGAUUUAUUUUUUAUUUUAUUUUUUUCGAAAAGUAUAAUAAAUAAGAAAAUAAAGUUUGUUUUUUCUUUAUACCUGUGUCACUUCGUUUCCCUUCGUCAUCGAAGGUUUUCUCCGACACUGAAAACCCCAGAAUCCAUUAGAGUUUGGCCUAGGCUUCGACAAAACAAGGCGUGAAAGAUGUGCGUUGAAAAAAGAGAAGGGUUGAAAGUUUUUAAGUUUUUUUAGAAGGCAUCGCCUUCAAAUUGGGGUCAAGAGGGCUAAAAAAAGAUUUUUUUUUUUGCAACUCCAGCCACUGGAGGCGACGGCCGCCGUCGCCAAUGACCGGUGGCCAUGGCGGAACGCCAACGGCCCUAUGGCUAACCAGGGAGAUGCCCUCAAAAAAAAAGGAGAGAAAGUCUAUGUUUUUUUUAAAAAAACUGAGUAAAAAUGAAUUUUUUUUAAAAAAUUUUACAUUUAUAGGGAUCACCAAACGGUGUCGUUUUGGCCAGGUUUCAGGAGUCCCAAAAUGGCGCCGUUUCAAAGUUUGACCCGCCGACUCGACCCAGAUCCCUUAGGAUCCCUGUGUUUUCGUGGGAAGGAUCUAAUUGUCGUCGUAGUCAUUCCACCUUUAAGCCUUUUCCAAUCUGGUCCUAAUUUCUUUUUUUCCUUUCUAGAAAUUAUACCAUUUGAUCUUAAUUCACUUUUAUGUUUGGUCCUUAAACUGCUCACCCUUCGGGGAGUGAUGCGUGUAUUGUGUUGGGUUAAUUGUCCUCGCAGUCCCUAAAUUUUUGUAUCACAUUUUAAUUUAGUCCUUUAUAUCCUAUUUUUAUAUAAUUUAGACAUCAUAUUUUAUUAGAAUUUCAAUUUAAUCCUUCAUUUCCCCUUUCUUUACUUAUUUUGCAAUUCAUGCUUUAAGUUUCGCUUAAAUUUCAAUUUAAUCCCUCAUUUAGUUAAUUUUGCCUCCUUAUUUACUAUAUUAUUUAUUUUAGCACUUAAAAUUUAUGUUAUUUAUAUUUCCUUUUAUUUAUGCAUUUUUAUUUUUAUUUUUAUUUUAUCCUUGUUAUUAUUAUUAGUAUUUUAUUUAUUCAUAUUAAUAUUAUAAUACUAAUCAUGAUAUGAUUAUCACUAUUAUUAUAAAUGGAUGUUCUUAUUACUAUUAUAGUUGCAUUAUUAUUAUUUACUAGUGUGUGUGUGUGUUUUUGUUUUUUUAUUUCAUUUUUUUUACUUAUUAUUCUAAUAUCAUCAUUUCAUUUUUUACCCACAUGGCUAUUUUAUUUUAUUUUGCUAUCAUCAUACCAUGUAUCAUAUUAAAUAUAUUUAUCUGUUUUUACACUAUGCCCAAAUAAAUUAAAUAUAUAUCAUUUUAAAAGUUACAUCAAUUUACCCGACAUAUAAAAAAUAAUUAAAAUUGAGGCAAUGUUCAUUAUUUUUGGAAUUUGAGGAGUUGUGCUCUUAACUUACGGAGUAUGGUCUCUUUCUAAAAUCGAAGUAACCAAAUAUCUUAUUUAAAAAUAAAAACGAGAUUUAAGUAAGGAUCAAAUGGUGAUUAUUCUUGUUUUCGAGGAUUCAAAGCAUUGUGUCCUAACUUACGGGGCAUGAUAUUUUCUUCUCGACUAACUCGAAAUAAGGCCUUUCUGUAAAAUUUAAUUUAGUUAAGUAAUUUUAAUUAAAAAGAACAUCAUGCAAAAAAGGGGAUCGUACUUUAAAUUUUCUUUGAAUUUUCAAUUCUCAACACUAAGAUAUCAAGUAAUUGACUAGGUACCAAUUUUGGGAGUUAUGAGGGUGCUAAUCCUUCAUCAUGCGUAACCGACUCCCGAACCCACUUUCUAGAUUUUGUAGACCAAAAAUCAUCAUUUUAGUAAAUCUAACUUUUUAUUAAAAUGAUUAAAUUACAAGGUGAUCCGAUCACACCUAAUAAAAGGACUGGCAGCGACUCUAUUUUUAUUUUAAAAUAAAAAGUCGAUUUCAAAAAAAAAAAGGUUUUGACAAUGACUAUGAUAGGUAAAAGUGCCACAAAAUUCUCAAUACUAUACUUCGGAUUGCAUUUUAGCCCCUCCAAACCGACCAUCGCCAUAGAAAGAAAAACAUGAAAGCUUCUUAGGGUUUUAAACUUUCGGCUAAGAUUUGGUAAGUGCAAUUAAGUCCUUUUCUUGCAAUUCUAUGUUUUUUAUGUCAUAGGAGCUUGUUUAGCUAGCCCAUUUACCAAUUUGUAGAACUAUUAAAGUUUCUAAAAGUUUUCAUUCAUGAUUUAUUGAAGAAAUUGGCGUUAAAUUGACAGAUUUUAAGCUUAGUGUGAAAAAGGAUUAGACUGUAAAGUUUAAUUUUUAGUUUUGUACAAAAGGACUAAAGUAAAUAAAUUAUAAAAUUUAUAUAAUAAUAGAUAGUAGGGAGUCCUUAAGGGGUGUGAUUGAGAUCAGUUUUGAAACUGAAGCUCAAAAUUUCUAUUUUGGUCACUCUUCGUUAAAUUGUUGACGAAAAUGAAGACGUGGCCUUUACUUAAUUUAUAUAAUAAUACCCUUACAGCGUGUUUGGUUGGGGGAAUAGGCAUGCAUUCCCCCCCAAUUCUGCAGGCCCACCACCAAACGGGCGUUUGGUUGGCUGUAAUGUUAUUACAUCCCGAAUCAGUUCCGCCCCUAUUACCCCAAUUGGUUGUAAUAGCCAUUCCCCCCCUUCAGCGCUGAUUAGGAAUUCCAUUCCCGUUUUUUAUUUUCUAUUCCAUUUUCUGCCCUCAUCAAGCUUCAUCCUCUCCGACGUUUCCCUUCCAUAUUGCAGAGGUAAUUUUUUUGCCUUCCAUCGAUGUCUGCUUCUUCUUUUCGUACGUUUCUUUUCUUCUCUUUACAUUUAUUUUCUUUUUUUCAUUUUAUCAAGAACGAAAAAUGCUUGAAAUCGAUUUCCCUUUUCUUUCUACUCCUAACUCUACAACAGCCUAACAAGUCAUUACCAUCACUUUUUUAGCAGCUCACACGCUUUCCCUGUUUAUUUUACAGGUUAGUUUUGCUUUUGCUCAAAUCUGCAAUAUUUGUUUUUGUUCUCCUAAUUUUGAUUCUUUUCUUAUGAUUUCCAUUGGGCUUUUCUUUGACUGAUUCUAUUGCAUGUUCGAUUGAACAGAUGAAAAGUUUUUCAAUGUGGUUCUAUUACUUGUUUAUUCUAUUGCAUGUUUGACUGAUUCUAUUGUUUUCCGAAUGGCUUGUGAUUUCGACUAGUUGAGUUCUGUUUAUUUGCAUUUCUUGAAAUUUCUUAAUGUUAACAUGGAGUUCAUGUUUUGGUUUCUGUAUUAAGUUGAAGUUUUUCUUUAAAGAAGAUUGAUUAGUUGGGUGAGAGUCAAGAUUUUUAAUGUGUUAUAAUGUUCAUGUUUUGGUUUCUGUAUUAAGUUGAUGUUUUCCGUUUGUAUUUAUGAAUUAUCUCUAUUGUUGUUGUUGUUUCAUGCAUUACCAUUGGAGGUUCAGAACCCCACACCCAUAUAUGCAUGAUAUAUUCACUUUUUUUUCUUAUUUUUUUCCCUUGCUUUUGGAGGAUCAUUUGAGGUUAUGAUCCCAUACCCUUGUUCGGAUGUAUGGAAAACAUGGACAAUUCACACACACACAAAAAGAGAUGAGUUAGAGCAACAUAGGUAUAACAAAAUUGUGAGGGAUUGUUAAUCAUACACAUUCGUUUGGAACUACUUUGCUUUUGAAAGGGUUUCCCUUGUUUGUGAAGAAAUUCAAUAGGGUGUCCUGAUUUGUGAAUGAAUAUGAAAAUUUAGUUAUGAGUUGUGGUUCAUUGCGCCUACUGAAUCUUCUUACCUUGUUCUGUUAUCAAGGCAAGGAUUUUGAGUUUAAGUUUUGAGAUUUAUUAAAAUUUUCAAAAAAUAAAAUAAAAGUUUAAUGAGAUUUUUUUUAAAUAGAUGUCUAAUUAAAAUUGUUCAAAAAUUUAAAGGAACUUAAUUAAAAUUUUUAUAAAUUUUUAAGAAAAAAUAAAAAUUUACUAAAAUUUCGAGGGCUAGGCCCAUAUAAGCCUCUGUUACUGAGCUGGACUAAAGUUUCCUAUUCAGUUCUUUUUUUCCCUUCUUUUGUUUUCAUUUGUGUGUAUUAAUGCGACAGAGCUAUAAUUCCCAACCCAAUACAAAAUAAUCUGUCUUAUUAUGUUGUCAAGCGAGUAAACUAUAACGAUUUAUUGGCUUUUUUUACCUCUACAAUACAAAUAAAAGAAUUAAAUAUUAAAAUGAUAUGCCAAUAUUAUUAUUUGUUUGAAAUAAUAAUAAGGGGUGGAGGAGAGAGAGAUGGGCGGCACCACUCAGGUGCAAAAAUAUGGUCUUGACGAGUGGAGGAUGAGAGAGAGGCGGCACCAGACUGAAAUGUGAUAACUUAAAAUAUUCAGGGACUUAAUAUAUAAAAUUUUCAUUUUAAUUUACUGCUAAAAGAAACUUUUAGGGUGCCGCAUAGUGGCGACACUAAACUUCAAAAAGGUUAAAUUGCUUUAUAAGCCCUUCUUAUUUACAAUUUUCUUUAAUUCUCUUUCAACACAAAAAAAUAGAGGCUUAUUACCAAUUAGUUCAAAAAGUUUUUUCUACCAAAAAGUAUUUGUUUAAAAAAUCUGAUUCCAACUGGAAAUGAAUUUUAUUUAAUUUUCGAAAAAUAUUUUUUUUCUGUUUAAGUUAUUUUAUUCCACUGUUCAAAUAAAUUUUUUUUCUAAAAUUAUUAUAUGAAAUACUGGAUGGUCUAAAUUUAGCAACACUCUUCCCUCAGGAUCCAUUUCGGGAAAAAGAUAAUAUGCAACUUCGUGCUGUCAAUUAUAUCCUUUAUGGAAAUGGCAAACCAACUCAGAUAAUUUCUGACAUAAGUAUUCAACUAGUUCAGACUUGUAUAGUGUUGAGUUGGGACAAAGACAACAAAAGUUCUUCCACCGAAGAGGUCUUUGCUUCCUUUGUUAAAGUAAGGACAAAUGGUCUGAUUCAAGAUUUCCUAAGAAUCGAAUUAGUGAAAUAUCAUAUUUUUUUUAUAUCAGAAAAAGAAACGAUCUAUCAGGUUCAAUAUUGAUUUUUGAUAAUAGGUAAAAUUGUACCAAUAAAAAUCCGUUUUAUUCCAAUGCAAUGAUUCAACAAUCAUUUAGCUAAAAUCACAAAACUAUUCAUAUGCCCUUGAACAAAAAUAAGGAAUCUCAAUCUUUGAUAUUUUUGUCAUCAUCUAAUUGUUUUCACAUAGGCCCAUUCAACGAUGUAAAAUAUCACACUGUGAUAAAACAAUCAAUUAAAAAAUAUCAUCUAAUUCCAAGUAAGAAUUUAUUACUUUAUUUUAUUCCAACAAUUAUUUGAAAAAAAUAUUUUUCGAUAAAUAAAUAAAAUUGAUUUCCAGUUGGAAUUGAUUUUUUUACAAUAAUAUUUUUUGGUAGAAAAAACCUUUUGAGCUAAUUGGUAAUAAGCCUCUCUAUUUUUUGUGUUAAAAGGGAAUAAAAGAAAAUAGUAAAUAAGAAAGGCUUAUAAAGUAAUUUAACAUUUUUGAAGUUUGGUGCGGCCACACUCUUAGACGCAUCCUAAAAGGUUUUUUUUAGAAGUCAAUUAAAAUGGAAAAUUUAUAUAUUAGGUCCCUAAAUAUUUUAUAUAAUUACAUUUCAGUCCAAUGCCACCUCUCUCUCAUCUUCCACCAGUUAGACUGUAUUUUUGCACUAGAAAAUACUGGUGCUGCCCAUCUCUACCCUCCACCCUUAAAAAAUAAUUUUUUUUAAAUACACAUCAUUUUGUAUGAUGAUUCAAUGAGUGUAUCAAAAAAAUUACGAGUGCCGCCCAUCUCUCUCCCUCCACCCAUUGUUACUAUUUCAAACAUACUAUUUUAGUAUUUAAUUUUUUUAUUUGCAUUAUAAAGGUAAAAAAGCCCAAUUUAUUUGUCCCUUUUUAACUUUACAAAAAAAUUAUUUUAACUCAUCAUUUAAUUUUAAUUUUUUUAACUUUUAAUUUUUUUUUCAAAUAUUCCAAAAAUAGAUAGAAAGUUAAUGUUUUUUAACUUUGCCUAUGUGGCAUACAUGUGGAUUACCACAUGGAUGACACAUCAACAUUUAAUAUUUUUUUGAAUUUUUAAAAUUAAAAAAAUAAUUAGAUGUUGACAUGACAUCCAUGUGGCAAUUUAUAUGUAUGCCAUAUUAAUAAAGUUAAAAAAACUAUUAACUUUACAUUUAUUUUUGGGUGAUUUAAUAAAAAAUAUAAUUAAAAAAUUAAAUAAAAGCUAAAAUAAUUUUUUUUAUAAUUAGAGGCCAAAAAGUUAUUAUGCCUAAACUAAGCAUUACGAAUUUUCAUCAACGCUUUUGGAUUAUGGUUUGGUUUUCUAUUGUUUCAAAAUGAUGAUAUUUUUGUUUCAAAGGCAAUACUUUGUUGACGAAGAUUAGACCUGUUUAUGGAUCGAGUUACAUACUUAGACCAAAGGCUCAGCUAAAAUUUGGAAGGAUUUGGAUAAAAAUAUUAGACCUAAAAAAUGAGUUUAGACAAAAAAAAUUAGACCUAUUUAAAAUAUAGGUCGAGCUCGGGUUUGAACAAUCAAGGCCCAAGCCCGACCAGACUCAUUUUUAAGUUUAUAAUAUUUUAUAUUAUGUUAUUUUUAUAUACUAUGUAUUUAGGACGUAUUAAAAAAAUAAAUCUAUACUAAAUAUAUAAUACUACUCUAAUGUAAAUAUUAAAAUAAUGUUAAGAUCACUAUAUAAAAAUUUUCAAUAAAUAAAAAAUGUAUAAAAUUAUUAAAUAUUAAAAUAAGAUAAAUAUUUUUUUAAAAAUAAUGAGCGGGCCUAAAAUGGGCUUGAAUUAGUCUUUUGCAAAUAUGGAUGAGUUUGGAUAAAAUUUUAAACUCAUAUUUCAAGUCGGACCGUACUUGGACAGACAUAAAAUAUGUUAAUAUCAUGCUUAGAUCCGGUCCAAAUCCGACCCGACCCGGUCGAUCAACAUCUCAAAAUAAUGCGGUAACCGAGAAGGUGAAAUGUUGUCAUAAUGCUUGGACUUUUCUUUUUCUUUUAUAGGAAUUUUAUUUGGAGCGUGUGUGUGCAUAUAUAUACUUUUGUAAUGUAAACAGGAUCCUUAGUUUCCAUUAGAUACUCUGUUUUUCGAAGGAAUACAUUGAAAUUUUGAAAGUCUAUAUGCUAAGAUGUCAAGCGUGUGUUGUAAAUUUAUAAUUUUUUUAUUUAGUUUUUAAAUGGGAUAAUUUAUUUCUUGUCCCUCAAAACUUUGCAACUAGGUCCCCCUAAACUUUGCCCUCUAAAUUUAACAAUUAGAUUCGUUUUGGUCAUUGAACUUGAAAAAUAUAAAAGUUUGAUGACAUAUCACUCCUAGAUUGUAUCACUUCAUCACUUGAAAAUUAUUAAAAGGUUUAUAUAAAUGUUCAAGUGAUGAUAUGGUACAAUCUUGGAGUGUCACCUAUAGUGUUCUAAUAAUUGGACCAGUGGUUGAAUCGGUCAGAUCACUAAUUCUCAAAUCAAUCGGUUUGAUUGCUUCAACUGCUAGACCAACAAUAAUUAAUUAAUUAAUUAAAAAAUUAUUAAAUUGGUUCAACAUGUUCAAAUAUUGGUAUUUAUCCCAAUUUUCGAUUUUUAUCAAUUUUUGAGCAAUUUUUUAUUCAAUUGAUUUAACCAAUUUAUUUGGAUUGGUAUAUUGAUCGGUUGUCGGUCCAACCGACGAAUCUAGUCAUGUUCCAAGAACACUGACCACAUCACCAAAUCUUGAUGGAAUCCAAGUUCAAAGUCAAAAUGGAUCUAGUAGACAAGUUCAGGUACCAAAGUGAACGAAAAAAAGUACAGGUACCAAAGUGGACUUAGUUGCCAAGUUCAGAUACCAAAGUGAACGAAAAAAAAGUAUAGGUACCAAAGUGGACUUAGUUGCCAAGUUCAGGGGCUAAAAUUAUACUAUCCCUUUUUAAGUUAUGAAGAUGUGUUUGAGUACCAAAUUGGUAGAAUUUGUAAAUGUGGAGGGUUAAUUUUGUUGAAUUGUUUAUAAUUAAGACCAAUUAGAUAGAAUGUAUAAGCAAUUAAGGAUUAAAUGUGUUAUGAUACCAAUUAAAAAAAAGUCACAAUAUCAUUUAUGCUAACGAUUUCAUAGAGGAUGACCAAAACAAAACUGAUUGAAAAUAGUAGUGAAAAUUUUGAUUUUUUUACAGUUUGGUGACUAAAACAAAAACAUGCUAAUGGUUGAAUGACUAACAGUGUAAUUUACCCUAUUUUUUUUGAUGUAUUUAUAAUUUUGAUUCAUGAUAAAGAUGUGUUUGAGGACAAAUUUGAUAGAACUUGUAAAUGUGGUUGGUUAAUUUUUUGAAUUAUUUAGAAUUAGGAUUAAAUUGAUAGAAUGUGUAAGUAUUGAGAAUGAAAUGUGUUAUUAUACCAACUAAAAAGAUCACAUUAUCAUUUUCUUCCAAAAUAUAAAAGAUAAAAAAACUUAAUUAACAAAAUUGAUAGCUCUUGUAGUUUAGUAACCAAAUCAUAAACACAUUAAAUAGUUGAGUAACUAAUGGUUAGAUGUAUUAAUGGGCUGAGUCAAGCUCAGGCUUAGUGACGAUAUUAACAAACUUUAUGAUUAUUUAAGCCCGACCCAAUCUAAAAUAUGGGCCUACAAAUUUACCUUAGUCCACAAAUAUUUAUAAAUGGCUAAACCAAUCCUAUUUUAGCUAGGGAUGGCAACUAGUUGGUAGUCAAUAUACGAGCAAAUGAAGAAAAAAGAGAAAGUAAAAAAGAAACAAUGGAUGAGGGAGAAGAAAGAAGAAAGAGAAAAAAAACGAGAAAUAAGAGGGGAAAGAAAGGUGCCCAGCGGCAACCUUCUGGUCGGCCGUCGGCGUUUGAAAACUGGAAAAAGAGGGUGUCUCAAGAUUGCAAAAUGAGAGAGAAAAGUAGAGGGACUUAAACCGCUCGUAUAGUUUAGUUUAUUUUAUAAAUAAUUGAAUUGGUUUGUUUAGAAUAAAAACAUUUUUUUAAUAAUUAAAUGUAUUUUUUAUUUAAAAAUAUUGAACUUACAAAUAUUUUAUUUGACAUUAAUUUGUUUUUCGAUUUCAAAAUUGGAUUUUGCAAAACGAGUUAAUUAGAUUAUUAACCGAUAAAUUGUCAUUCCAAGUAUGAAAUUGAAGUAUCGAUUUAAAUUUAUAAUACUUUAUAUUAUGUUAUUUUUAUAUAUUAUGUAAUUUAGAACACAUUUAAAAAAUAAAUCUAUACUAAAUAUAUAAUACUACUCUAAUGUAAACAUUAAAAUAAUGUUAAGAUGACUGUAUAAAAAAUUUUAAUAAAUAAAAAAUGUAUAAAAUUAUUUAAUAUUAAAAUAAAAUAAGUAUUUUUUUAAAAAUAAUGAACGGGGUUAAAAUAGGCUUGAGUUAGUCUUUUGCAAAUAUGGGUGAGUUUGGGCAAAAUUUUAAACUCAUAUUUCGGGUCGGACCAUGUUUAGGCAGACAUAAAAUAUGUUAAUAUAAUGCUUAGACCCAACCCACACCCUACCCGGUCCAUCAACAUCUCAUAAUAAUACAGUCACCGAAAGGUGAAAUGUUGUGAUAGUGCUUGGACUUUUCUUUUAGACCCAGCCCAAACCCGACCCGGUCCAUCAACAUCUCAUAAUAAUACAGUCACUGAUAAGUGAAAUGUUGUGAUAAUGCUUGGACUUUUCUUUUUCUUUUAUAGGAAAUUUAUUUGGAGCGUUUUUGUGUAUAUAUAUACUUUUGUAAUGUAAACAGGAUCCUUGGUUUCCAUUAAAUACUCUGUUUUUCGAAGGAAUACACUAAAAUUUUGAAAGUCUAUAUGCUAAGAUGUCAAGCGUGUGUUGUAAAUUUAUAAUUUUUUCAUUUAGUUUUUAAAUGGGAUAAUUUAAUUUUUGCCCUCUAAACUUGGCAACUAGAUCCACUUUGGUAUCUUUACUUUUUAUUAUUCACUUUGGUACCUGAACUUAACAACUAAAUUCGUUUUGAUCAUUGCACUUGAAAAAUAUAAAAGUUUGAUGACAUAUCACUUUGAGAUUGUGUUGCAUCGUUACUUGAAAACUAAAAGGUUUAUAUAAAUAUUCAAGUGAUGACAUGGUACAAUCUUGGAGUGUCACAUAUAGUUUUCUAAUAACUAGACCAGUGGUUGAACUGGUCAGAUCACUGAUUCUCGAUUCAAUCGGUUUGAUUGCUUCAAUUGCUAGACCAACAAUAAUUAAAUGAAUAAUUCAAAAUUCAAAAAAGAUAAAAAAAAUUUAAAUUGGUUCAACAUGUUCAAAUAUUGGUAUUUAUCCUAGUUUUUUUAUUUUUAUUGAUUUUGAGCAAUUUUUUAUUCAAUUGGUUUAACCAAUUUGUUUGGAUUGGUAUAUUGGUCGGUUGCCGGUCCAACCGACCAAUCUAGUCAUGUUCCAAGAACACUGAUCACAUUACCAAAUUUUGAUGGAAUUCAAGUUCAAAGCCAAAAUGGAUCUAGUAGACAAGUUCAGGUACCAAAGUGAACGAAAAAAAAAGUACAGGUACCAAAGUGAACCUAGUUGUCAAGUUCAGGGGAUAAAACUUAUAUUAUCCCUUUUUAAGUUAUGAAGAUGUGUUUGAGUACCAAAUUGGUAGAAUUUGUAAAUGUGGAGGGUUAAUUUUGAUGAAUUGUUUAUAAUUAAGACCAAUUAGAUAGAAUGUGCAAGCAUUAAGGAUUAAAUGUGUUCUAAUACCAAUUAAAAAAAAAGCCACACUAUCGUUUAUGCUAAAGAUUUCAUGGAGGAUGACCAAAACAAAAUUGAUUGAAAAUAGUAGUGACAAAUUUUGACUUUUUUAUAGUUUGGUGACUAAAACAAAAACAUGCUAAUGGUUGAAUGACUAAUGGUGUAAUUUACCCUAAUUUUUUUUAUCUAUUUAUAAUUUUGAUUCGUGAUAAAAAUGUGUUUGAGGACAAGUUUGAUAGAGCUUGUAAAUGCGGAUGGUUAAAUUUUUUGAAUCCAACCCAAAAUAUGGGCCUACAAAUUUACCUUAGUCCACCAAUAUUUAUAAAUGGCUAAACCAAGCCUAUUUUAGCUAGGGAUGCCAAGACUAGAACCGCUUGAUGAAUUUCAUACCGAUCCACUCUGAAUUGGGAGUAUUUUUUUUUCUUUUGAAAAGUGGAUGCGAGGCAAGGAGAGGUGGAUUUUUUCUUUUAGAUAGUGGGUAUGGAGUGGUUAUGGUAAUUUAUUGUCCCACCCCGACCCGUUCCACUAUAUGAAAUUACCAUUUUAUCAUUGUAUAUAUAAAGGGUAAACUACCAAAAUAGUCAUUUUUGUUUACCUUAUGUUACAUUUUAGUCACUGAGCCAUUAAUUACCAUUAACGGUGUAACGGUAAGCUGAUGUGACACGUUAAAUCAUCAUUUCAAACAAAAAUUUUAGGUUAAUUUAUACAAUCGGUCCCCAUAUUUUUUCAUUUUAAGCAAUUUAAUUUUUUCUUUUAUGUUAUUUUAACUUUCCUUUUUUUUUCUUUUUUUUUCCAGUCUCUUUUGCUUCUCCCUCUAUUUUCCUUCCUUUUUCAUUUAUUUUAACGUAAAUUUUCUAUAUUUUCCAUUUGUUAAAACUAAUUGCUAUACUUUUAUUUUUUUUGAGCAAUUUAUAUUUUUUCGAGCAAGGCGAGCUUGUGGACUAGUUUUAACAAAUAAAAAAUAUAGAAAACUACGUUAAAAAAUGAAGAAAGGAGGAAAAUAGAUGGAGAAGUAGAAGAUAAUUAAAAAUAAAGAAAAAGAAAGAAAGUUAAAAAAACAUAAAAGAAAAUAAUUAAAUUGCUUAAAAUAAAAAAAAUAUAGGGACCAAUUAUUGAAUUUAACCAAAAAUUUUCGUUUGAAAUUAUGAUUUAACGUGCCAAGUCAGUUUACCGUUACACCGUUAAAGGCAACCAAUGGCUAAGUGACUAAAAUGUUACAACGCUAUAACGUAAGUGACUAAAACGUAACAUUUCAAACAUAAAUGACUAAAAUGUAACCUGAGGCAAACAAAAAUGACUAUUUUAAUAGUUUACCCUAUAUAUAAAUUAUUAAAAGGGUGAAAAUGUAAUAACAUAAUAUAGAAAAAAUUCAUAUAUUUUAUGUUUAAAUAUAUUUUAUGAAAAAUUAUGUCUAAAUAUUUACUUGACUUUUAAAAAAUUAAAAAUAUUAAAAAUAAAUAGCAAAAUUUAAAUUGAAGCGGAGUGCGGUAGGGUAGGGGAUGAAUGUAUCCAACAUACAUGAAGAUAGUAAUAGUUUCCAAGAUUAUACAUUUAUAGUAGAGUAGGAUGGGUGGUGGAACAAAUUGUGCCAACUGUGAAGCAGUAAUGGAUGUAGUAAUAUUCGCCCUCACCUUGCUCUAUUACCAUCCAUAAUUUUAGCCUUACUCGUAUUAUUUUUAAUUUUUUUAAAAAUAUAUUAUUUUAAUUUUAAUAUUUCACAAAUUUAAAUAUUUUUUCAUUUAUUAAAAAAAUUAUAUAUAAACAUCUAAACAUUUUAUUUAGUUGACGUGAAUAUCUUAUUUAAUUUACACUUACAAAAUAAAAUUAAAAUACACAUAAGGUAAAUAAAUUUAAAAAAAACAAAAUAAAUAAAUAAUAAAUUAAUAUUACGUAACAUAUUAAUUUAAAUUAUUAAUUAUCUUAAAUAAAUUAAAACUCUAAUUAUCCUAAUUUAAUUUAAAUCAUGAUCUAAUUUAACAUGUAUAAAAUAAUAAAAUAAUAAUUAGAAGACAACAAAAACUAGAAAUAUGAGAAUCAUGUAAAACCCAAUAUUAUCUAUCAAAUUUGAGAGGUCAAAACUAGAAAUUAAAUUAUUAUCUAUUUUAUUUCUAAUGUUCACUCAAAUUUGAAUUACAACUAAUAGAUAUACAUAAUCACAUUCCAAAUCAAAUAAAGCUAUUAAUAAUAUUUCUUUUAAAUAAAUAUUAAUAUUCACAUAUUUUAGAAUUACAAAUUGUUCGUGCAUGGUACGCGUAAGAAAACUAAUUCAUAUAUAUUACUCUAGUCAGCCAUCUUUAUAACAACAAUUCUAUAACUAUCAAAUUUUUAGUAAAACUGAUUUUUUUUUAUGUUUUAUUUUAAUCAUUUUUAAUAACUUUUCACUUAUAAUAGUAAUGGCCAUAGUUAUGAACUACAUUCUUUAUUAAAUUAUUUUUCUAUAGAAAAUUUUAGUUAUUUCAUGCAAGCCUAUUAAUUAUAAUUUAUUAAAUAAAAUGAUCUUAAUUAAAAUAUUUAAAUUUCACAUGAAAAAUCUAUUUAAAUAAUCUUUUUUCUGUGAAAAUGACUGAUAUUAAUAUUAACAGGCUCAAAAGGAGUAGCUAAAAGGCCACCAAAACAGACAAAAAAGAAAAUCACAGCUGUCUAAUAAAAAGAAAAUUAAAAACUACGCCUAGAAAGUAACGAAACAUCAAUAAGCAGAAAACGCGUGGGCCUGCAACAAAACUUUUCAAUCUCCAUUAUCAGCCACAGCAGGGCUCCAUUUCCUUCGGUAUUAUCGAUCAAAGACUGAGAGCCAGCAACGCUUUGCAAACAAUAUUAGAGAUUCAAUGAACCUUCUUUAACUCAAAGCGAACAUAUGGAACUUAGGUCCGUUGGCACCAUCGUAACCAGUCUUCCUCCACCACCAGUCGCACAGUCUCUGGUAUUCCAGUAACCCAGGCCCCACACACUUUCCGAUGCCGACCUUCCACUGCCAAAAUAAGGGCUGCAGCGUUAAGCGGACGGUUCACAAACUUGUAAGAGACUUCAUCAAAGCCCUGGCGCAAUCUAUGAAUAUUAUGAACAAUCGACCUAAUAAUCGGUCUAUCUUCCUCAUUUUUAAUCAGUUUUUUAAUGACUGUCAGGGAGUCCCUUUUCACAAUCAACCGUCGAAAGCCCUUCAAUUUUGCGAGGAUCAGCGCUCUUUCACAAGCUCGUGCUUCCGCCACGAAUGCAUUGUCCACACCUUCCACCAGAUAAGUAACUGCUUCUAUAACUUCCCCUCUGUGAUUUCUGGCUAAGAUUGCUAUUGUCGCAAUUAUUUCCUGGAAUAUACGACGCAUCAAAAUUAAUUUUAAUAAAACCAUAGUCAGGAGGCCUCCAGACUUCAUUUCUCAUAAAAGCAGUAGAAACACAUAGAUUCUCACGAACAAGCCAUAAAUCUCGCUCAUAGCCCCUGAUAAAUCCCAAUAGUUGUGGCAUAGAAAGCUUAAUCCCCUCAUGAACCAACUUAUUUCUGUGAAACCAAAAACACCAAAGAGAUAAAGCAAUAAACCUUUUUUGUCGACCUUCUGCUUCAAGAUAUGCUUUAACAAAAUUAGCCUUAUAAUCCAGGGAAUCAUCCAAAGGGGGAAUUUGAACUUGCAACGAUGUCCAUAUAUUUUAAAGGACCCUACAAGACCCUAACAAAUGCGCUGUGGUUUCUAGAUCUUCCUUACACAGUGGGCAUACAACCUCCUCACAUAGUGUUCGGCGUGCCAAGUUCCCAUAGUGUGGCACCAUGUUAUUGAACAAUCUCCAAACAUGUAUUUUUAUUUUCUCUGGAAUAUGUAAAACCCAAAGAUCCAUGUAAAAAAUUUUGUAUUCUUCAUUUGUAGAGGACAUGUGUAGAUUGCUCUGUAAAUAAUCUGUAAUAAGAACUCGGCACCCACUCCUGACAGUAUACUCACCUGAGCCUUCAUACUUCCAUACCAACAUAUCCUCUGGUCGGCUUUCAGAGAUGGGAAUGGCAAAGAUUCGAUUAACAGUGUCAUCAUCCACUAGAUUGUGAGUCAACUCUCUAUUACAGGUACUGUCUUCUUCAUUCAUUAACUGAUUCACUGUUGACCAAGGAGGCUUAAUUUCAAUAACCAGGAUUCUGUUAUUCUCUCUUCCAAGCAACCAGGGGUCAUUCCAAAUGUUGAUACUUGCACCAUUUCCCACACGCCACAAGAUUCCAUCACUAAUCAGGUCCCGCGCACUACAAAUACUCCUCUAGGUAAAUGAAGGGUAAGAACCAACCUUUGCUGUUAGUAUAGUAGAAAGAGGGAAAUAACGGGCUUUUAAAACCUUGGCUAAUAAACAAUGGGGUUGGGUUAAAAUACGCCACUCCUGCUUCGCUAAAAGGGCCUUAUUAAACAAGAAUAAAUUUUUAAAUCGCAGCCCUCCAAAACUUUUCGGUUUACACAGAACAUCCAACGAACUCCAAUAAAUCCCCUUCGAUGUUUUAUUAUUCAUCCACCAGAAUCGAUUCAUUAUUCCUUCCAAUGUUUUACAUAAUGACUUUGGCAAUAAAAAACACUGCAUAGCAUAAAUUGAAGUUGCCUGCAAAAUCGAUUUAAUGAAAACCUCCUUAUCCCCCAUUGAAAGAUAACACAUACUCCACCCCUCCACCCGUUUUCUGAAUCGGUCCACAAAGUUAGCAAAAGCCCACAUUUUCCUCCUACCCACCAUCAUAGGCAAACCGAGAUACUUUUCAGGAUUUGAGGCCAGACGUACCCCUAAUAAAUUAACAAUAUCCUCAUGAACACUAGAGACGACAUUUACACCGAAAUAAAUGAGGGAUUUUUCAAAAUUCACUCUCUGCCCCGAGACCAUCUCAUAUUUUUGGAUAAUAGCCCGAACCACUUCAGCUCCUUCACAGGAGGCAUCACCAAAAAGAAUGCAAUUAUCCGCAAAAAAUAAGUGGUUGACCGAAAAAUUCUCUCUACCUAUAGGUGCCCCCAUCAUCAUCCCUUUAGUUUUAGCUUCCUGAAUGAGCAGCGAAAACCCUUCAGCACAAAUCAAGAAUAAAUAAGGACUAAGAGGGUCUCCUUGUCUGAGUCCUCUCGAUGGUGUGAACCAGUCCCCGCUAGCUCCAUUAAUACUAACAGAGUACGUGACAGAGCAUACACAACACAUGAUAAGAACGAUCCAAUCCUCAUGAAAACCCAGGUGCUUCAUCAUACCUGCCAAAAAAUCCCAUUCCACACGAUCAUACGCUUUCCUCAUAUCUAGUUUAAGCGCAAAAUUGCCUUUCUUACCUCUCUUUUUCAUUUUUAGGGAAUAAAGUAUCUCAUAAGCAAUCAGUACAUUAUCAGAAUAAGCCUACCUAGAAUAAAGGCCCCUUGAGCUUCAUUAAUACAAGACCCCAGUGUCUCGCUCAUCCUCAAUACCAACACUUUUGCUAUAAUUUUGUAAAUGACAUUACAAAGGCUGAUAGGCCUAAAAUGAGUCAUGUUACUCGGUUUUUCAACCUUUGGAAUCAGGAUAAUGCACGUUUUGUUAAUAACACUCAAAUCCUCUUGUCUCUGUAGAACGAAUAAGCAAAAGCGGGUAACCUCAAGCCCAACAAUGUGCCAAUAACACUGAAAGAAGAGGGUCGAAAACCCAUCCAACCUAGGGGCUUUCAAAAGCGCCAAGGAUUUGACUGCAAAGGCAAUGUCCUCCUCCGUAAAUUGUCUUAAGAGCCUUUCAUUCAUACUACUAGUAACUUUUUCCUCUACUAAGCUAAACAAAUGCUCAUCCGAACCUGACUCUGAAGUAAAGAAAAGCUUACCAAAAUAGUCAGAAGCUAUUUGGAGGAACUCCUCAGUGGAAUUAAUACUUCUCCCAGCUCCAUCUUCCAGUUCAGAAAUUCUACAACGAAAGUGACGUUGGACAGCUACCUUAUGAAAAAAGCUGGUAUUACGAUCCUCAUUCUUUAGCCAAUUCACCCGCGCACGCUGCUCCCAAAAUAAUUCCUCCUUUUCAGCUUCUAAAUUAAGCCCCAAUUGGACCUUCAUAAUCUCAGCUAGAACUUCAUCUGACGGAUCUUGAGUGUAAAGAUUCAUUAAUCUGUCUUCUAAACGGAGCCGAUUCCUCCACUCCUUAAUAUUAUUCACGUUGCUCCACUUUAGUAUUUGAGAACCUAUUUUCUCCAACUUACUCAGUACACCUCCAGAUUCCUCUUCCCACCAUCUCCUAAUCAUACCUUCAAACGCCUCUAAACACCACUUAGCCUCAAAUUGAAAAGACUUCUCAUACUUGUUCUGACGGUUCCAUACUCCCCCUAGAGUAUCCAGAAGAAGAGGGCAAUGGUCAGAAAACGAGUGACUCAAAUGUUCCAGACGAUAUCCAGGAAAAGUAUUCAUCCAGCUUAAUGAAGCAACACUACGAUCCAGACGUUCCCUUAUAUUAGUCGAUGCAAAUUGUCCUCGUUCCCAUGUGAACCAUCUGCCAAUAAAGCCUAAAUCAUUAAGGCAACAAUCUUCGAGAACCCCGCGAAAAUCCCUCAUUUGUCCAAUUGGUUUGAGGCGACCACCAUUCUUCUCAAAGGAAUCCAUAAUUUCGUUGAAAUCCCCCUGAUCUUGAUCUUGAUGCAACUGGCGUAGCAAAUUCCACGAAUCACCUCUGCGUCUUCCAUCUGGAUGCCCAUAGAAAGCAGUGAACCUCCAAACAUUUUCACACUCAUUAUCAUGAACUUCGACACCAAUGUGAUAGGAAGAGAAACUUUUAAGCUUGACCAACAUAUUUCCCUUCCAACCCAACGACAAACCCCAUUUCGUACCAACUAGACUAAUAUCGAUGCCAUUCUCAAAACCGCACUUUAAUCUUACCAACUCUAUUUUCUUUUAACAUAAUUUCGUCUCUGUAAGAAACAAAAUUCGGGGAUUAUUGGCUCUUAACUUGUUUUUGAGCCUUAUAUCUGUUCGUGGUCUCCCCAAACCGCGAACGUUCCAACUUAGGAUUUUCAUCGAGCCCAGCUGCUCUAAUUUUCGGAGCUAGCCGAAACAUUCAUAGAUCCAGAUCCCACAUUAGCAUCCAACAGAACACGUGACCUCUCCACUAUUCGCUGUCGUUUUUUCCCCUCAGACAACUCUAAUGGCUCAUUUUCCUCCUCCAAAUCCAACUCCAUUUCCCCCUGAACGAUCCCAUUUGUAGUCAAAUUAUCUAUACACCAAUCUCGCUUCUUAACAAUUCUACCACCGCAUUGAAUUGGAUCAGGACCUAAAUGAAUUAGAUUAGGAUUCAAGUUCCUACCAGAAUCCCUUGCAUUACCAUACAUGAUGCCUGCCAAAUUUUCCUCACUAUACGGAGAUCCAUCUAUUGCCCGCAGCCACCUACUUACCGCCAUAUUCCGACGCCUGACCACAGUACGCAGCGAUAAAUCCCAGCCAAAGACUAUUUUUGACGGUUCAAUAGUCAGUCUAACAGGGUAGUAACUUUCCCCGUGCCCCAGUUUUCCGCAAAUAAAGCAAAAUAAACUUAAUUUCUCAUACUUAAAUCUAGCAUAAACCACCAUAGAUUUCCCUAUCAAAAUUUUCUUUUUUCGCUUCAACGGGGUAGCAACAUUUAAACAGAUACGAAUACGCAUAUAAUGUUGAAUUCCCAAAGUCGGGAUGGAUGCAUCAUACUCAAUAUACUUGCCACAGAAAUCACCAAACUGUUUGGCCAUCGAGACACUCAUCAGUCCCGGCGGUAAGUCGUGAACUUGAAUCCAAAACUCCGUGUGAUUUAACUCCAUCACCGCUGGGUUCCCUUCGGCAUGUAUUUUUUGCAGAAUAAGUAAAUGAUUAUUAAAAAAUCAUGGAGCCGCCGUAACAACCUUUUCAAUAUCGAUCUCAUGAAAAAAUUGGAAAAGAUACCGUUUUUCUCCUAUCUCUGUUAUACAAAUCCUUCCUAUUGGGUGCCAAAGAUCUGCCAAAGUGUUGCGUAAUGACGGGAAAUGAACAACACUGUCUGUUAGGCACCGUCCCACCAGACAUAGUUGAUUAACACGACCCACCGCUCCUUCAUCCUCUUGAAAAGCAUCUUUUUCGUCAUCCAUCAAAUUCAAAUUCUCCAUUGCUUCUUCCAUCUCACCUUCUGCACCUUUUCAACCGAAUAGAAAGAGACUUAAUUCAUAGAAUGAUCAGAUCUGCAACUAAAAAAUUGAAGAAUCUUAGAUGCAGAAGAAAGAAACGUGCCAAUACGGCUGACAGAAUCCCGUGCCAAUACGACAGACAAAACCUAUACUUUGAUUAGUUUUUUAUUAGAUUCAUUGUAUAAUUUUUUAAAAUACUAGAUUGUAUCUAUUUAAAUAAUCUUCAAUGAGUGGAAUUAAAAACAUCAAUUCAAUAAACUAUUAACUUCCUCAAUUAAAUAUGCUAUUAUGAAUUUGAAACAUAGUAAAUUUAUAAAUUGAUUACUUGAAUUUAAUAACUCAUGAUAAAUUAAUUAAUUUAAUUGAACUUGUUAGAUCUAUAAAUUUCAUGAUUAAUCAUGUGAAAUAAUGUAAAAUAAAAAAUACAUAAAAACAUUAAUUUUAUUGAUUUGAUUUCCACUCUCCUUUUUAACAUAACACACUUUCUUUUUUUAAUGGAAAUUCAUGAUACAAAUUAUAUUGUAAGUUUAUACCUAUUAUCAUGCUGAUGUAUGAGAAUCAUCUCUCUAUAACAGAUAAAGUCUUAGUAGACAAGUGAAACUGUUAAAGAGAGAGUUAAAUAUAUAAAUUUAAUUUUAUGUGUUAUAAAUUAUAUAAUGUAUAAAAAUAAUACAAUCUAAUAUGUUACAAAAUUAAAAAACAAUAAACUUAAUCAAAAUUUUCAAAAGAGUUUAAUUUUUUUGCCCAAACCCACUUAGGGUGAAUUUGGAUGGACAGUGCGUUUACAUGCGGUUAAUGUAAAAACAACGGUAGCGGUGAGAUUAGAUACUGUAGCAAUACUAUAGCAUGAGACAAAAAAUAAACUAAACGCACCGCACCGCACCACACCCAAUCGUCCAUCCAAACCCACCCUAAAAGAGUGUUAGUAUAAGAGAUGGUGAGAUUUGGACUGAUAGUUGGAUCCAUUUACCAUAAUUUUUAAGUGAAGAAGAAGGAAAAAAUUCAGGGCAAGAGUGGGCUAUGGUUUAAAGUGUACGUGAGAGGGAAAGCGUGGCACGUGGGAGAUUUAAAAAAUCUAGGGUUUUGGGGCAGUGACGGGCAGGAGAAAAGCCCCGCUGCCCGUUUUCCUCAGUGCUGUGUUUUCAUCCCGCUUCCUUCCCAUCAUUCGAAAUUGAUUAUAUAAAUACUCAAAUCAUCAAAUCUAUCUCUUCAAUCCAUAGCUCCCCCAUUUCUUCGCCGAUUCUCUCUCUCUCUCGCUCUCUUUUCAAUUAUUUCCUCUCAAUCUUUUUUAUCUUUGGGUAACCGCAAGCCAAAAAACACACAGUCACGCACACACUACACUAGGAAGAGAGUUUUCGUGAGAGAGAGAAACCCUAAGUUUUCUCUGCCGUUUCUGUUUUUGUGAUUUUGAAAUCCCCUGCUUGGAGACUCAUUUCAGGUAACAAUCUUUGCUUCAACUUUGUCUUUGCCUUUUCAUCUCUGUUUUAGUAUCAGAUCUAUGCUUCUUUACAUGUAUUUCAGUGGGUUUUUCUUAGGGUUUUUGGUUCAGCUUUAGAAAUCACUGUUUCGUUCCGUCUUUCAAAUCUAUGGAUCUCGGUCUGGUUUUUCUUUUUGUUUGUUUAUCGUCUACUAUAUGUUGUUCUUUAUUUUUGGAUUGUUUGUUUCCCUCUGUUUAAGAUUAUAGUUUUUGUGUUACGGUAUAGUUCUUUUAAAUCUUUGCUUAGCAGAAUACUGUUCGAUUUAUGUGAUUGUGCAAACGGAAAUUGAAGAACUUUUUGGUUUAUUAAAAAAGACCCUUGAAAGUCUAAUUUGUAAUGUUUUUAUUUCGUCUUAUACCUUGAACUUCGAAAGCAAAUAAUAGAACAACCCCAUUUCAAGGGGGGUAAUGAUCGGGAAAAUUACCUUUGGACACAAAAGUUACUGCAUGCACUCGAAAUCUGAAUAUUCUUAUUAAGUAUAGGGAUUUAAUUGCGUUUUAGGUGAAAGCAUGGUUUCACUGUUAAAGCGAGUUGUCACUGUUAGGCCUGCCUAUCAACUUCAGUGGUGCUCGACUCUAUGUUUAACUUAGUAAAUGCUGGUCUAUAUUUGUUGAAUAACUUGCAUUGAUCUAUAUUUGCUGGACAACUUGUGUGGUUUGGUAAGCUUAUUCCAUCAAUAUCUUCUCCAAGGGUCCCAUCAUGCUUAGAGCCUUUUGUGACCUUUUGACCUUGUUCAAUUAUAACUAGCUACAAUCUCUAUUAAUGGAUUUGUAUCCUUGUCAUCAAUGCUGAUUAGUGUUUUAUGUUUAUCAAUUGCAGUGUAGUUAAAAUGGCCAUGGAGAUCACUCAGUUUCUGCUGGCUGCCCAAUCGGCAGAUGCAAAAGUUCGGACAGAGGCAGAGGCUAGCCUUAGGCAGUUCCAGGAGCAGAACAUGCCUGUUUUCCUUCUUUCAUUGUCAGUUGAGCUUUCAAAUGAUGACAAACCUGUUGAGUCCCGUAGAUUGGCUGGUAUUGUGCUUAAGAAUUCAUUAGAUGCCAAAGAUGCUAUUAGGAAGGAACAACUCGUUCAACAAUGGAUGGCAAUCGACAUUUCUAUUAAGUCUCAAAUCAAAGACUCUCUCUUGAGGACCCUUGGUUCAUCUGUACCUGAGGCAAGGCACACUGCUGCUCAAGUUAUUGCAAAAAUCGCUUCAAUUGAGAUUCCUCGGAAGCAGUGGCCUGAACUCAUUGGGUCAUUGCUGAACAAUAUGACCCAGAAAGACAAGCCUGCAGCCUUGAAACAAGCUACCUUGGAAGCACUGGGAUAUGUUUGUGAAGAAAUAUCUCAUCAGGACCUCGUGCAAGAUGAAGUCAAUGCUGUUCUCACUGCUGUUGUUCAAGGGAUGAACCUAGCUGAACAUGGUCCCGAAGUUCGGCUUGCAGCAACCAAGGCUCUGUAUAAUGCUUUAGAGUUUGCACAGACCAACUUUGAGAAUGAGAUGGAGCGGAAUUACAUCAUGAAGGUUGUAUGUGACACUGCCAUGUCCAAAGAGGUGGAAAUCAGGCAGGCUGCUUUUGAGUGUCUUGUUGCAAUAGCGUCAGCAUAUUAUGAGGUGCUUGAGCCUUACAUGCAAACCCUAUUUCAGCUUACAUCAAAUGCUGUAAAGGGCGAUGAAGAGACUGUUGCUCUCCAAGCAAUUGAGUUCUGGAGCUCUAUCUGUGAUGAAGAGAUUGAACUUCAGGAGUUUGAGAGUCCUGAAAGUGGUGAUUCUGGACCUCCACAUUCGGGUUUCAUCGAGAAGGCUUUACCGUCUCUCGUUCCCUUGUUGUUGGAAACUUUACUGAAGCAGGAAGAGGAUCAAGACCAGGAUGAUACAAUCUGGAAUAUAUCUAUGGCUGGUGGGACUUGUCUGGGUCUUGUUGCCAGAACGGUUGGAGAUGCUAUAGUGCCUCUUGUAAUGCCAUUUGUGGAAUCUAACAUUUUGAAGCCAGAUUGGCGUUGUAGAGAGGCAGCAACUUAUGCAUUUGGAUCUAUUCUUGAAGGUCCAACUGUUGAGAAGCUCUCUCCUUUGGUACAGGCGGGUCUGGACUUUUUGCUCAAUGCUAUGAAGGAUGGGAACAACCAUGUGAAAGACACAACUGCUUGGACUCUUAGUCGCAUUUUUGAGUUGCUGCACAGUCCAGCUUGUGGAUUUUCUAUCAUUUCCCCUGAGAACCUCAAACGAGUUGUGGGUGUGUUGUUAGAGAGCAUUAAAGAUGCUCCCAAUGUAGCUGAGAAAGUUUGUGGGGCAAUCUAUUACCUUGUCCAAGGCUAUGAGGAUGCAGGACCUAGCGCCUCUCUUUGGUCACCAUAUCUCACUGACAUAAUUAGUUGUCUGAUUUCAACUGCUGAUCGGACAGAUGGGGGUGACUCCAAGCUCAGGUCUUCUGCUUAUGAAACCUUGAAUGAAGUUGUGAGAUGUUCUAACAUUGCUGAAACAUCUUCUAUUAUAGCACAGCUACUACCAGUCAUCAUGAAUAAGUUGGGCCAGACUAUGGAUAUUCAGAUUGUGUCAUCAGAUGACAGGGAAAAGCAAGGGGACUUGCAAGCCUCUCUUUGUGGUGUUUUGCAGGUUAUCAUCCAGAAACUUAGUAGCACAGAUGAAACCAAAACAAUCAUACUUCAGGCAGCUGAUCAGAUCAUGCUUCUGUUCCUCAAGGUGUUUGGUUGCCGUAGCUCUACUGUUCACGAGGAAGCAAUGCUUGCAAUAGGUGCUCUUGCCUAUGCCACUGGAUCUCAGUUUGAGAAGUACAUGCCUGAGUUCUAUAAGUAUCUUGAGAUGGGACUGCAGAAUUUUGAGGAAUACCAGGUUUGUGGAAUCACAGUUGGGGUUGUUGGUGAUAUCUGCCGUGCCUUGGACGACAAGGUCUUACCUUAUUGUGAUGGCAUCAUGGGUCUUCUUUUAAAGGAUCUUGCUAGUUCAGAACUUCACCGGUCUGUAAAGCCUCCCAUAUUCUCUUGCUUUGGGGACAUUGCUCUUGCAAUAGGAGAGCACUUUGAGAAGUAUGUCCCGUAUGCUUUGCCCAUGAUGCAGGGAGCAGCUGAAAUCUGUGCCAAGAUGGAAACAGCUGAUGAGGAGAUGGUGGAUUAUGGCAACCAGCUCAGACGUAGUAUUUUUGAAGCUUAUUCGGGUAUCCUCCAAGGUUUUAAGACCGUGAAGCCUGAUGUGAUGUUGCCCUAUGCCCAACAUCUUUUGAAGUUUAUAGAAUUGGUCUCUAGAGACAAUCAAAGGUAGUUUCAUAUUCUUUAUUUCCUCUUUGGUGCACUGAUGCUUAGCCUUUGGGAUCAUCUUACUUAAAUAUUUUUCCAUGUGUUGCAGGGAUGAAAGUGUGACAAAAGCUGCGGUUGCUGUUAUGGGUGAUCUUGCAGAUGCUCUUGGAUCCAACAUAAAGCUUUUGCUUAAAGACUGCUUGUUUUAUGAUGAAUUUCUAUGUGAAUGUCUCCGAUCUGAUGAUGAGCAGUUGAAGGAGACUGCAGGUUGGACCCAGGGUAUGAUUCAACGCGUCAUGGUUUUAUGAGCUUGAAAUUUAGGGCUGAAGGUAAAAGUUGAUAUCUUGGUCUGUCCUUUUUGCUUGCUAUAAAGCUGCUGUCCAUCUAGUUCUGGUAAAGGUUUUGCAUAAGGGUCGGGAACCGAAAGGGGUUUACUGCAUGUAGCUGUGCAUUUAUUAUUUGCAGAUUCGGGUUUUGAAUUUAUCAGGGUUUUCUUAAUCCUCAUGUGAUUGGGUAGAUAAAGUUUUAAGUGAUGGCAUUGUUUGAGGCCUUUAUGUGAAGGUGGUCCAAAAAAACUUGUGAAACAGUUUUUUUUUUUUUUAAUCUAAAUGCAUCCUCUACAUCGGUGGCUUGUCGAGUUAAUUUCUCUCCCUGAUUGCUUUGGUUUAAUAUCUCAUUGAAUUGAACAAACUGGAUUGUCGUGUGAUUCUGUAAUAAAGGAUGUAUACAUACAUGAAUGAUCAUCCUAAAUAAUUCUGAGCUUGCAUGCAUGUACAAGACAACUAAUUAUAACCAUUGAAACAUGCAUCAGUGUAAGUUUGAAACAAAAAAUUCUGACCUUUUUCAAAAUUUUAAAAUUCAAAUCUCUGAUAGUAUUUUUCAUUACAAUGUAUUGAUAAAUUGAAAGAAUGAUGAUAAUAAUUUAAUUUUAAAAAAAAAAAUCCUUUUCCGGGUGAAAGAAAUAAUAGGGAUACGAUCACUGUGCUUAACGACAAGUACAAUGUAUCACAACAAAAUUUAAAUACGUAAUGAUAUUAUUACAUUUACUCAUUUUAAUAGAUUUCCCACAAAUUUAGAUUUUUUUUUUCUCUUUUUUACUAAUCAAACAUUUUAAUAUUGGGGGCGUGGAAACUGUAAACUAGUGUGCAAGUGCAACAAUAAUUCUCUCUUAGCAUAACAUAAUCAAUCUAUUCCCUUAAUUUAACCAAUAUGUAUAUAUAUCCACAAUUUAUCCAUAAAAAAAAGAACACUUUGACCAGUAAUUUAGCUUAAAGCGACCUGGUCAGAGGUCAGCUAAUUUGAUCUGCUUCAUCUUCUUUAUAUUAUAAUAUUAUACGAUGAUGAUCACAAGGAAAUUGAUUAUCCAGUGCGAAACCAAUUUACCAUGAAAAGGAAUGUAAACUUCACCCACUAAUUCUCAUUAGAAAAUUCAUAAAACAUGGAUUAAAUAGAAUUUUCCAAGAAAUAGCACCUCUAAAAACCUGCCAAGCAAGGAAGAAGACCCAACAGGGAACCUUGAUGGAAUAAUAUAUCUUUUAAAGAUUUGAUUGCAAAUUCUUUUCUUUAAUCCUUAUAUUAUUUUAUUCAUAUGCCAAAUUGUUCCUACAUGUUUAUCUACUACUUUAUAUAUACAUAUGACAAAAUUCAAAGCAAAACAAAUUUUGCUCUUAACAUCACAAAGAUGAUGCAAUCACAAGACUUUACCCCUUCAUGGCCAUUGGUGAAUUCAACUAUAGAUCAAUUAGAACCCUACGGUUUUAAUAUGGGUGUCCAUUUUGAUGCUUCUUCUUCAUUCCAUACCAGUGUGGAUUCCUUCUUCUCCAAUGAAAAUUUCCCAUUUUCACCCUAUGAUUUUGAUGAUGAUCUGCUUCGGGUCACAGUACCAUGGGAGGAUAUUUCAGCCCCCUUGGCAGGGCUUGAUUCUAUGUUGACUGAUGGGGUUGAAGAAAGUUUUCCUUUGUCCUCUCAAAGGCAAGAUAUAUGGAGUCCUUGUCCAUCUAUAAGAUCCAGCGAGGCCUCGACCGAUACGAUGCUAUCGCCACUUACUAUGCCAAUCCUAGGAGAAGAUGCCAUGGAAAUUGAUAAUCAGUUGCCCUUAUUUCAUCUGCUCAAGGCUCAUGGAGACGCUACGGAGAAGAACCAGACAGACCUUUCAGAGGUAAUCUUAAGGUGUGUGAGUGAGAAAGGUAAUCCAGUUGGUGAAACUUUGGAACGGAUUGCAUUCAAUUUAUCACAAGAUAUUCAAAACCAAAACAAUUAUUAUCUAAUGCAAGAGUCUAGCAAGAACUUUGAGGUUGCCUUCAGGACUUUCUACCAGAUAUUCCCAUAUGGAAGGUUUGCUCAUUUUGCUGCUAACUCGGCAAUCCUCGAAGCCAUACCCAACGAUGCAGAACAGCUACACAUCAUUGAUUUUGACCUUGGAGUCGGGAUCCAAUGGCCUUCAUUGAUUGAGGCCAUAGCAGGACAUUGACAACAUAAGACAUUGAGACUGACUUCAAUAAAAUGGGGAGAUGAUCACUCUCCAGGAGGUUUCAACACACAAGAAUGCUACUUUGUGACCAUGCUAGGUCCUUUGGCCUAAAAUUUAAAGUUGAAGAAAUGGGAAUCCAUGAUUUGGUGAAUGAGUUCAUGGCAAUGAAGAAACAAGGUGGUGGUACUAAAGAAUGGUUGGCAUUCAAUUGCAUGGUGGGACUCCCACACAUAGGCAAAAACAAGAGCAGGAAGCUUGUAAAUGAGUUCCUAGGCAUAGCUAAACAAUUAUUGACAAGUUGUGGUGACAAUGCAAGAACAACAAAAAGGGGAAUUAUAACGCUUGGUGAAGGAGAUGCUUGUGAGAACCUUAAAGAUGGUACAGGCUCAAGUUUUGGGGCAUAUUUUAAUGCGCAAUUGAUGCACUACCAAGCUAUUAUGGAAUCAAUGGAAUCCAACAUGGCAAAGCACCUGGUCCAAGCAAGACUGGCAAUGGAGUGUUUGUUUGUAGGGCCAAAUAUCUGUGCACAAGCUUGGUUCCAAAAAUGGAAGGAGAUGAAUGAAACAUGCUACUUCCAGGCAGGGACGACAUUGGAAGGAUUAAAGGUGAGCAGAGGUAGGGUAAUGGAAGCUAAAGAAAUGGUGAAAGAAAGGGGAAAUUCUUAUGAGGUGAGCAUUGGAGGGGAUUCUGGAAAUGAGUUAACCUUGGACUGGAGAGGAAUUACACUGGUCAAAGUUUCCUCCUGGAGAAAUUAAAGCUAAUUCUUCUUUUUAGUACUUAGAUGUAAAUUACGAAGACUAGAAGGAUUGUUUAUGUAAAAAUAGUAUAAUUAGCGAAAACAAUAGAACAAAUUUCAUUUCCAUAUUUUGUUGCUUGAUUUGUUUUAGUGAAAUUUACAAACCCCAUUUAGCUCUCCAUAUUUAUUUAUUUUUGUCAAUUUAAUCCCUAUUUUUAAUUAAAUUUGGUCACUAAUCUUUUAAAACGAAUCAAAUAUUUUUUAAUGAAAAUGUUGACUAAAUCAUUAAUAUUUUAAUGAUGUUGGAGUGCUAGCUUGCAUGAAACUCUACAUCUAUUUCAUAUGUCACGCUAAUAAUAAUUUAAACUUUAAAAAUUCAAAAAAUUUAAAAUUGAAAAAAAUAUAAAAUUGUUCAUAACGAUUCAAAAAAAAAAGCAUAAAGUAUACAUGAAUUUCCAUACAAGCUAUCAUGUUUAAAAUUUAAUAUCUUAAUAUUUGACUACUUUUAAAAGGUUGAGAGCCAAAUAUAACUAAAAAAGAAGAAUAAUGGUCAAAUUAACAAAAGAUCAAACGUUAAAGGAUUAAAUUUAUCAUUAUACCAAAAGUGGAUUAAUAAUAAAAAUAUUUCGUCGACAGCAGGAUUCGAACCUGCGCAGGCAAUGCCCAACAGAUUUCGAGUCUGUCUCCUUAACCACUCGGACAUAUCGACACUUUUGAUCUUUCACGAAUAUAUUUUAAGAAUAAUCUUUUUCACUCUUGGCUCAAAUUUGAAUAAAGGAGUACCAAAAACCUAGAGAAUGGGGGGAUUCUUGAAGACGACAGACAUAGAGUAGCUGAUAAGUAUACGCAACAGUGGCAUCUGUAGCAUCCUGGGAGUUGCCAGUCAACUGUAUUUUUUGUGAAACUAUGUAUCUUUUUGCUUUUUUAAUUCUAAAAAAUGAGUGGUGAUGGCUAUGAAUUAUGAAGCUAUCCUUUCCAAAGUUAUGUUUUUCCUGAGUUCAUGCCCAAUGAAUGAAACGGUUCAAUUUUUAACAUCCGAAAAUGGGUAGUUAAGAUCAUAGCAUUAUUUAUAAGGAUUCUCCUUGAUUCAAGUUUGUGAUUACAUAUAGUGGAUAGAGUCUUGAAAUAUAAAGGUGGUAGACAAGUUUGAAUUUGACCCACCAAAGCUGACUUCUUUUGAUGCUUGUGAUAGUAAUAAUUCCCAAUAGUCAUGACACAUGCUUCCUCUCAGUUGAGAUAUCUAACCAAAAUUUAUGUAAUAUUAUGUGUUUCUAAUGCUUCCAUCAAGCAUUAUGAGUGAUACAUGAUUUGAUGGUUGUGUUGCUUUUUUGUUGUUGAUAGUGAAUCAAAUUUCUUUUUGUUAAAAUGCCUAAAUUUGUUGGCUAACCUGGAACCUGCAUAUGAGAUUCAUUUAUAAAAUCUCCUUUGCAAGCUUGGUAAGAUUAUCAAUUAAGAGGACCCCAAUUACUUACUCUUUGUUCCAAGUGCAGAAUGGAAAUUGCAUCACAAGUAAAUCAUAAUAACAGGAUGGUUUGCCAAUUAUAAUGAUCCAACUUCAUUCUUACAUAAAAUGAUGUAAAAAGUGGUCCAUCAUAGUACAGUAUAAACUCCUGCUGCUACGGGGUUGCGCGCGGACCAAGAUCGAGUUGCAAAGUCACGAGAAACUCCUACGAAAACCCUAAACAAUUAGAUCUGAAACGAAACAGAAAAUUAAAAGAUUAGAUUUUUGAAUUUUCAGAUCUGAAAUAAAAUCCCCAAAUCAGCAAAGAAUCAAAUUGAGAAUAGAAAUAAGUAUUAGGGUUCUUGAAACCCUCAAGGAGAUUGUGAUUCUGCCCAAUUGAACACCAAGAUAGUUUUCCCCAAAUUUCGACAAUCUAAUUUCACCCAAAAAGAGUAUGGAAAAACCCUAGAAAUUGGGGAUUUUUGGGCUGAUUCCUUAAGAUAGAAAAAGGCUGAAAACACAAUAAGAACAGAAAAUAGAUUAGAUAAUGAUUCAGCACAAGUAGAAAUAAAGAAAGAAUUGACAGCAAGAAAUUAAAAGAUAAGUCCUAAGAAGCCUUGAAAUCUCGAAAGAUCUCACAACUCCCUUCAAACGGCUCUAAUCUCCCCUCCAAAGAAUAUCAAUGGCAAGAAGAAGGUUGAAGAUGGCUCCCACAAUCACAAGAUUGUUAAAACAACUUCUAAAGAAAACUCAAGAUAGAAAUCUUGGAGAAAACUCAAAGAAAAUUCUGCUCUCAACAAAUCUGAAAUUUUAAUAAUAAUGAUAAGUGUUUAACAAGGUGGACAGCCAUGCCUUUAAAUAGGCCUUAUAACUAGUCCUAAUCUAAUUAGAAAACUAAAAUAAAAAAACUCCUAAUUAUUUUAAUAUGGAAAUUCGGUCAAAGGUCAUUUUAUCUGGGACUCUUGGACUGAAUAUUGACAUAAAAAUUUAAACUAAGUAAAUAAAUAAAUAAAUAAAUAAAAAUAAAAAUAAAACUUUACAACUUGGGCCACUUUGACAAUUUGACCUGAUUUUCAACUAAGUAUGGAUGGAUUUCUUGAUUGGGCUGGGAAUUUGCUUAUUGGGCCUCGCCUUCAAGAAUUUGGGCUUUUGUGACUCCUAUCACAUGUUGUUGCUUCUAUGUUCCUCCACUGCAACAAUGAAGUCUCUGCUGAAUUUGGGAUCUUAUUUCUACAUAGCAGACUGGAGACCUUGAAAAUUUCUCUUCAGUAACUUUUAGAGAAUUAGACAGGCAGGCCCUUACCAAAUCUUUGUCUUUGUAAGCAUUGCAGACAUAGGUUAUAAAAUCUUCAUACUUCUGCACCCCCAAAGUUUUUAGAGAGUUAGAGAAAGAAACAAAGGUGCAGGUGAUGAGGAAUACAGAGAGAAGAGGGACUAACAUCAUAGAGAGGUUGAUUGUUCACUGUCACCCAGGGGACAUAUAAAUGUUUUGGAUAGAGAUGAUCAGUUUCAGUAGCAUACUGCAGUAAAAGCUGCAUUUACAUUCAAUUUGCAUUUCUUGUUACUGAUGUAUGUUUGAAAAAAAACCUACCCCAUCACAUUAAAUUAAACUCAACUACCUGCAUAUGCAUUUUGCUAGAAAAAUGUAAGGUGCUAUUAAAUGUAAAACUACAGAAAACUGUUGUGUAAUUGAUGAAUUUAGAUCUAAUUGAUUAUGAACAUCAAGUUUCAUGUUGAAGAAGCUUGCCUUUCUUCCAUAUCCACUGUCAUAGCAGUCCUUGAUGAGUUUCUGAUCCAUACCGGAUCUGGCAGAGCAGGCUUUCCACACUGCUUCCAUACCGUCAGAGUGCUGAUUAUCCUUGAUGGGAAGGCCUUGAUUUUCAAUACAGUAGAUAAAGUUGAAAUGCUUUCUCUGUGGUAUUAAAUACAGAGUUAAAUGAGGAGUAAAGGAUCCACCUACUUCUCUGUGGUAACCAAGUUCAUUUAUUUUUAAAACUUAAGCAAAUAUUGCUCUAAUUUCUGAUCAUUUUAAGGAAUCUACUUGCUUCCUUGUGCUAAAAGGAAGGGUUUUCAGGGACGAGAACAGUGACUUACCGGAUCAGGCCAGAUGCUGAUGGCGCAGGCAUGUAUAGUGUUGAGGUAACAUUCAUCUUCACCGUGCUUGAUUUACAAAAAAGAAAAAUAAAAAAAAGUAAAAGGUGUUAAAAUUACAAAGCAAUGAAACUUCUGAUUAGAUGUUAUGGAAGUAAUAGAUCUCAACCUGGCAAAUGAUGGUCUUGUUAGGUUUUACAUAUUGAGCAUUGCCCCAUGGAACUAGCCUGAGAUUGAUAAUAUUGAGAAGAUCAGUGUUGAAGACCUUCACAAGUUGACUUACAAUGAAACUCCGGCAAUAUGGACAUAGAGACUCAUAAUACAGAGACAAAUGAACCUUCUUUGGUUUGAUAUGAGAUUGAGCUUUGGUGACAUUGUUAUCUGGAGAAGAAUGAGAUUGAUAGAUAAAAAUGAAGUUUACAAGGAGAAGAAGGGAGAGUAACUUAGAAAAAGACAUUUUCUAGGGUCAUAAUAAGCUCUCAAACAUUUACAUAUAUAGUUGCUUAUGAAUGAUAUAUCUAUGCCCCACAAUUGCUUUAUUUUGUAUUAAUAGCAAUGGCUAUGGUCCCCCUAUUUAAUCUGUCGAAAUCAUUUUUUUUAAAUUUUGAAAAAUGAUGAUCGACUUUGAACAUGAAAAUUGGGGAGUCACCACCGAUCUUUUAUUAAGGUGUGAUCGGCUCACCUUAAAAACGGUUUUGGUCUACGAAUUUUGAGAAAGUAGGGUCGGGAGUCAGUUACGCAUGAGGAAGGGUUAGUACCCUCGUAACGCCCAAAAUUGGUACCGAAUCGACUGUUUAAUGUCUUAGUGUCGAAACUUUGAAAAGAUUUUGAAAUAUGUUUCUUUUAUCUUGAAUAAAAAUGAAUUAGAUAAUAAGGCUCACUUACUUUAAGGAAAUAAAUUGUCACACUUAGUAAGUUUGAGUGCAACGUUUUAAAUCCUCAAAAUUAAGUUUGACUUUUAGAAUCUGUACAUUUUGAGAAGGAUAUUCGAUUCUUUAGGUCAAAUGAGAAGAUCAAGACCCAAUAAGUUAGGGUUCGAUUUCACCAAAUUCCCGAAUAUCAAAUAUUGUCUUUAUUUUUGUUUGUUAGAAAAAUCCUCGUCUUGAGAAAACAAUACGUUAUAUCCAAUGCGUUAAGACACCACGUAUUGAAUUCUUGAGAAUGAGCUUUUUAUUUUGAAAUUUCUAUAUUCAAUUUAAAAAAGGGGUACUCGGUUAUUUAAAUUCAACAAGGAGAAUUGAAGCCCAGUAAGUUAGGGCACAAUCGACUCGAGAAUUUUGGAUACCGAGUAUUUUGAAAAUUUAAUGAUUGUAGCGCUUUAAUAAAAUACAAUUUUUUUUAAACGAGAUAGGAUUGAAUAACAAUAUAAUAUAAAAGAUAAAUAGCAACCCAAACAUAUAAUACAUCAACAUUAAAUAAUCAAAUAAACUAAUAAUCAAUCUUACAAAUAACAAAACGAGAGUAAUUAAUAUAAAAAUAAAUUAAUCACAAGUAAAUCGCCUAAAAUAAUUGGAGUGAAUAAAAUUUUGAAACACAAAAAUAAAAUUUGCACAAAUUACAAGUUAUGAUGCAUUUUAUACGCAUAUAUGUGUAUUAAUGAAUAAUAAAUUGAAUAAUAAUAUAUUAACAUUUUCCUAAAAACGUAUAAUAAAAUAAAAAAAUACUAUUGCAUGAUGAAUUAAAAUAGUAUAACCAAUAAUAUAAAAUAAUAACUUGUUAUUUUAAACAAUAAUAAUAGUAAAAUUUAAAACUAUCGAAAGCUAAAUGUUAAAAGAAUACUAAAUUUUGAUAUAUAUGUCAAAAUAGGAUUAAACAUAUUUAAAAUCUAAUAUUAAAAAUAAAAAAAAAUAAUAAUCAAAAACAAACACAGAGAACGGCACCGUUUAAAUCUGGAUCCAAGUGAAAACAAAAGCAAAUAUAUGGUACAAAUUAAAAAUAAUUGAAGAAAAUCCAAUCGAAAUUCCACAAAACCAGAGGGACUCGUCGCGAAAAUAAACCGAAGAACGAAAGCGCGCGGAUCCUUCCCUCGGGUCGGGUCACCGUGCGGAUCAGCCUUCAAACGACGCCGUUUCCUUCGUGGUUUAAAAAAAUAAAACCCUAAGUUAUUAAACAUUUUCCUAACCUAAAAGAAAAAUUAAAGAAAAGAGAGAAAAAACUCUCUCAGCGCCGUUCUGCGUUCUGGAAGCGUCCGAACGUCUCCGAUCUCAGCCCCUACUCCGAUGCCGACGGAGAGAGCCAGGAUCGGCCUCAAGGUAACUCCCCCUCCCCGAUCUCAUUUAUUUUAUAUAUAUAUGUGCUUAUAUAUGUAUUAAUAACAAAACAAAGAACAAAAGAAAGAAGAACGAUCGAAAAAAAAAACAGAAUCGCAAAGAGAGAAAAAAAGAAAACCUUUGUUGUAUUGAUAUAUUUUUUUUACAAUCUGUGUAUUCUCUGUAUCUGAGAGUGUUUUUUUUUUUACAAUAUGCGUGGGUCUUUUUUAUAGCCAGAAGAAAUAAAAAAACUGAAAAAAAUCCCCUAUUUUUACUGCUAUUUUCUUUUCUGGUAUUUCUGCUUUUUCCUUGCUCUCUCUGCUUUUGCGUUCGUUUGCUUGUCCUUUGCAGGUACGGGUACGGAGGCUCCCGUGGCACAGUGCAUGUGGGGAGAGAGGCGCACGUGAGGGGAGCGGCUCGAAGGCGCGGUUCGUGCGAGGGCAGAGCCUGCGGCGCCUAGAUCUUCUGGAAACCCUAGAAGUUUUCUGUUUCUGAUUUGGGUUUUCUGGUGUUGGGCCAUUUGGGCCGAUUUGGUUUUGGGUUAGUGUCUGGGCUAGGUUAAUUGGGUUUGGGGGUUAUUUUAUUUGUAAUGGACUAUGGAUUUUUGUUUACUUUGGGCUCCGGGCAAAAUUUGGGCCCUACAUAAUCUUUAGUAUCUAUCUUCAUACAGCCAUAAACCAAGGUUUCUGUUGUGACAAUUUGCACAGGCUUUGCCUGGAAGCAGCCAUAUUUUCAAGUAAAACUUAUUCAAACAAAACAAACAAAAGGAUGUUGAUCUUUCAUUCAUAGAAUAGAAGACACUGUAAACAUAUCACAUGUAACAUGUCAUAUAUGUAAAAGAUAUCAACAAUAAUGAUAACUAGAAGCUGGUUUUAUUACAUGCAGUUGGUGAAUUGUGAAGCAGCUGUAAUGGACAAAGCACAAGUUCUGGCCUCUUUCAAGGUUCUAUCCCAAGUUUGCAAUUUCACUAGCAUAGCAUCCUGGAUGUAUUCUGUUUGCCAUCUUAUCAUGGGUUGAGCUGACAUUGGCUACUUGUGUUUUGCAUGCUUCUGGUUUAUUGUCACCUUUAUAAGCUUCACAGACAUAUUUCACAAAAUUUUCAAAGUCCUGCACCAUGAUAUAAAAUUAUUGAAGUUACUUGUCCACAAAUAUGUUACUUCACAAUCACACAAAGAGACAGAAACUCACAUCUUUGAGUGGCUGAUUAUCCACCACCACCCAUGGCACAUACUCAUGAGGUGGCUUUAGCUUUGCAGUCUCAUUAGCAUAUUGUAGCAGAAGCUUAAGUCCAUAUCCAGAAGUAUAGCAUUUGUUGAUUCUGUGAGCACUCAUUCCCAGCUUUUCACUGCAUUGUUUCCACAUUGCUGCUCUGUUCUUGACCAGCGGUUUCUUUGAGCUUUGUUGCUCUGUGCAGCGAAUGAAAUCAAAGUGCUUUUUCUGCAACACAAUACACUAAUUGAACACAAAGAUGAAUCGGAAUCUGAAUCCAAAUCCAAAUAGGCUAAUAUGGUUUACCACAUCAGGCCAGUGGUAGAUGACACAGCUAUGUAUGGUAUUUAAGUAGCAUUCAUCUUCUCCAUGCUGCACAUUGUUGCGAGGCAUAAACAUGAAAAAUAUACAUUAAUCAAGAAAAUAUACAUUCAAAUGAAGAAUGGAAUUCGAACCUGGCAAUGGGGUUCAUCGCCAAGAAUGUCAGCAUUGCCCCAAGGGACUAACUUUAGAUUGACAAUGGUAAACAGAUCGCUGAGGAAUACCUUUACAAGGUCAUUUGUGAUAAAGUCGGCACAAUAUGGGCAUAAAGUUUCAUAGUACAGGGCCAAAGUGAC